UUUACAGGCACAAGAACACUCUUCAUGGUGCUCCAAGGCCACAUCUGUCAUGGACUUCUGCAGGCCUCUUGCUCCGCUUCGAUGUCUCAACAGAAGAACCUAUUGAGAAGGAGCAUGUAGUGCAUGAGCUCACUGAUAGCACCUUGUCACUACCAUGCCAUUUCCAAAGGUUGAACCAUAAAAAGAGAGUGGGAUAACAUCCAGAGCCUUGGAAGAACAUUGAUUUUGUGCCAGGCACGCACUGGCAGUCAAAGCAGCGAUGAGAGCAGCAGGCGCAGUUUCCACCACAGCGUUUUACAAGGAGACAGCUGGGCCAGAAAAUGACAUCUGUCCUUUUCAGCUCCUCUCGCAAAGACACUGAGUAGUUGCG